CGGCGGACGGGUGAGUAACACGUGGAUAACCUACCUAUAAGACUGGGAUAACUUCGGGAAACCGGAGCUAAUACCGGAUAAUAUAUUGAACCGCAUGGUUCAAUAGUGAAAGACGGUUUUGCUGUCACUUAUAGAUGGAUCCGCGCCGCACUAGCUAGUUGGUAAGGUAACGGCUUACCAAGGCAACGAUGCGUAGCCGACCUGAGAGGGUGAUCGGCCACACUGGAACUGAGACACGGUCCAGACUCCUACGGGAGGCAGCAGGC
rnacentral:rRNA from 1 species